UACGGAGGGUGCAAGCGUUAUCCGGAAUCAUUGGGUUUAAAGGGUCCGUAGGCGGGCUAAUAAGUCAGAGGUGAAAUCCCACAGCUUAACUGUGGCACUGCCUUUGAUACUGUUAGUCUUGAGUCAUAAUGAGGUAGAUGGAAUGUGUAGUGUAGCGGUGAAAUGCAUAGAUAUUACACAGAACACCGAUUGCGAAGGCAGUCUACUAAUUAUGUACUGACGCUGAGGGACGAAAGCGUGGGUAGCGAACAGG
rnacentral:rRNA from 1 species